rnacentral:rRNA from 1 species
UCCGGAGAGGGAGCCUGAGAAACGGCUACCACAUCUAAGGAAGGCAGCAGGCUCGAAAAUUACCCAAUCCCGACUCGGGGAGGUAGUGACAAGAAAUAACGAUACGGGGUCUUAAUAGGUCUCGCAAUUGGAAUGAGUACAAUUUAAAUCCUUUAACGAGGAUCAAUUGGAGGGCAAGUCUGGUGCCAGCAGCCGCGGUAAUUCCAGCUCCAAUAGCGUAUAUUAAAGUUGUUGCAGUUAAAAAGCUCGUAGUUGGAUUUCGGAGUGGGCCAGUUGGUCCGCCGCAAGGUGUGUUACUGACUGGUUUGCUCUUCUUCGCAAAGACUGCGUGUGCUCUUUAGUGAGUGUGCGUAGGAUUUACGACGUUUACUUUGAAAAAAUUAGAGUGUUCAAAGCAGGCUAUUGCUUGAAUACAUGAGCAUGGAAUAAUGGAAUAGGACUUUGGUCCCAUUUUGUUGGUUUCUAGGACCGAAGUAAUGAUUAAGAGGGACAAUUGGGGGCAUCCGUAUUUCGUUGUCAGAGGUGAAAUUCUUGGAUUUACGAAAGACGAACAACUGCGAAAGCACUUGCCAAGAGUGUUUUCAUUAAUCAAGAACGAAAGUUAGAGGAUCGAAGACGAUCAGAUACCGUCCUAGUUCUAACCAUAAACGAUGUCGACUAGGGAUCAGCGGGCGUUAUCGUACGACCCCGUUGGCACCUUACGGGAAACCAAAGUUUUUGGAUUCCGGGGGAAGUAUGGUUGCAAAGCUGAAACUUAAAG